rnacentral:rRNA from 1 species
CUAACCUGCUAAAUAGUACAGUUGCAUUUUUAUACGUGUUCUCCUGUUUCCGCCACUCGUUGGUGGGCAGGGGCCGUAUAAGCAGGUGAGACUUCUUAGAGGGACUGGCACUCUUAUACAAAGUGCACGAGGAAGAGCAAUAACAGGUCUGUGAUGCCCUAAGAUGUCCGGGGCCGCACGCGUGCUACAAUGACGAUGCAAGUGAGCAUGAUUUGCUUGUCCGAAAGGAUUGGCAAACCUGUUUAAUCAUCGUCGUGACUGGGACUGGGGUUUGCAAUUAUCCCCCAUGAACGAGGAAUUCCUAGUAAGCACAAGUCAUAAGCUUGNGCUGAUUACGUCCCUGCCCUUUGUACACACCGCCNGUCGCUACUACCGAUUGAAUGGUUUANCAAGGUUAUUGGAUCUGAUCUUAGUGGUGCAUGCUGCUUUGGUCGGGGAAGAUGACCGAACUUGANCAUUUAGAGGAAGUAAAAGUCGUAACAAGGUUUCCGUAGGUGAACCUGCGNAAGGAUCAUUACCAUAAAGUUCCUAACUGACACUGCACUCCGGGUGUGGCCAUUGUGCUCGGUCUCUCUAAGCAAGCAAUAGUCAGCCACUGGGCUGGCCUGCUGCCUGAGCGGUCGAGUGUGGUGGUUAUGCCUGGCGGAAUGUGCUAGUUCUAACUGGUUCUUGGGCUCGUCCUGUGUGAACCGCGUGUGAUACAGAAGGCACGCCUCAGCCACACACUAACACUGUGCGGCUGAUCGUGUGUCCCCUUUACGACUGGUUAAUGGCACUUAGUGUGUAGCCUCGUGUACUCUGUGNUGACNGUACACAGCGGGGGUUGCGCGCUCAUCUG